rnacentral:tRNA from 1 species
CGGGGUGUGGCGCAGUUUGGUAGCGCGCUUGCUUUGGGAGCAAGACGUCGGAGGUUCAAAUCCUCUCGCCCCGA